rnacentral:rRNA from 1 species
CUCCUGGAAACGGGUGGUAAUGCCGGAUGCUCCGCCCCCUCGCAUGGGGGGUCGGGAAGGCUUUUGCGGAAUGGGAUGGGGUCGCGUCCUAUCAGCUUGUUGGCGGGGCGACGGCCCACCAAGGCUUCGACGGGUAGCCGGCCUGAGAGGGCGACCGGCCACAUUGGGACUGAGAUACGGCCCAGACUCCUACGGGAGGCAGCAGUGGGGAAUAUUGCACAAUGGGGGGAACCCUGAUGCAGCGACGCCGCGUGCGGGAUGGAGGCCUUCGGGUCGUGAACCGCUUUUGAUUGGGAGCAAGCGUGAGUGAGUGUACCUUUCGAAUAAGCACCGGCUAACUACGUGCCAGCAGCCGCGGUAAUACGUAGGGUGCAAGCGUUGUCCGGAAUCAUUGGGCGUAAAGGGCUCGUAGGCGGUUCGUCGCGUCCGGUGUGAAAGCCCAUCGCUUAACAGUGGGUCUGCGCCGGGUACGGGCGGGCUUGAGUGCGGCAGGGGAGGCUGGAAUUCCCGGUGUAACGGUGGAAUGUGUAGAUAUCGGGAAGAACACC